rnacentral:sRNA from 1 species
UCUGCCAGUGUAUGUUGAAGUCUCAUGUGUGCUAGUCAUGUUGAUAUCUCGGCAUCAAGACCAACGGUCUUCAUAAGUGUUUCUUUUUAUGAUACGAAGGAGACAGAACAAGAAGAGUUGAUGUGGUUGGAUGAUGAGCUCAGGACUUUGAUAAGAAAAGGUCAGGACUUCGUGGCUUAGGUAUGGGUUCAGGUGAAGAGUUUUAACCGCUGUAUUGAGGGCUCUGGAGCUGUAGAGGUGGUGGCCCUCAUGACCUUGUCUGAAUAUAGUAGCUUCCUAUCUUCUGAAGAGGCUGGAAUAAGACAGGACCUUACGGGGAAGUGUCUGUCCUUCCUGGGAUCUGCCAGCACGUCUAUCUGGCCCUUAAUUGGGGUCAAAGGUCAAUGCAACCCGACUACAGGAGGAAGGACUGGAAGCAAGCAGGUCAGGCUGUGGCUAACACACUCCGGCUGGAACUGAUCUUCACAGCAAACAUCUUUGGAUCCAGAUGGCUCACAAAGCAGCGUGUGAUUAAGUGAACUGAGGCAAGGGACCCAUCAGUAGCCUGGUGUUGUUAGUAUGGAUGUUAAUAUGGAUGGCUCCCGCGAUCGGGAUUCACCGGAUGGAAACAACUCGAGCCAACUCAAGUUCUUCUCUGGACUCCAAACGGCUGAGAAACACUCAAAGGUCUGAGUCCUGACUCCUUACUACUUUGAACUGUGUGAACCAUUUACAGUAGGAACAUGCGUACUUCAAUCUCGACAUGACAGCGGUCCAUACUUCAAUCUCACCGUGACAGCGGUCCUUCGUUCUCAAUCAGCAUCACUUGGCGGACCACAUUUCCUAACUAGUACUCACCACCUGGCUCCUCUGCCACUCGAAGGCGGUGUUCCCUUACCACACCGGGAGGCACCUGUGGCGCUGUGCCUGGGAAGGUCACGAGUUGGAUAACUGCAGAUAAAUCUCGGGAGCUGCGUGUUCUGGUUAGGCAGGAAGUUAGACGCAAAGGAACCAAGCGGACUGCAACCAUCUAUUGGUAGUGGUGUCUCCUGAUGUUCAGAAUACUCCUUUGUGGUAUAAAUUCUUCACGUGCACUUCGGUUCCUCCUACUACGUAAGGGUACCUUCCCAGCUGCAGGCAUGUGAACCAGUCAAAGGUCCUCACCUUCGAAAUGACCUAAGUAUGUUCUAAUACCAUUUGUACUAUGGUUUUGACCUUCCCUGCUCUUUACAGACUUUUCAAGAGGAUCAUGGGAAGACACACUUUAAAGGGGAGAGCCAGUUCAUUGAGAAAGGAAAAGGUUAAUUAUCUUACUACAUGAAUAUGCUACUCAUUCAUGAAUAUUCAUCAACACCUUAACAUCCACGUCACAGACCAGUUGUGUUACUCAUCGGGCUUCAGGAUAACCCACUCUAAUCUUUCUGGAGAAUAUGCUCCACUUUGCUUUUCUUUGCUACAUUAAAUUAACUUCUACUGCAA